UACGGGGGAGCAAGCGUUGUUCGGAUUUACUGGGCGUAAAGGGCGCGUAGGCGGCGCAACAAGUCACUUGUGAAAUCUCCGGGCUUAACCCGGAGCGGCCAAGUGAUACUGUCGUGCUAGAGUGCGGAAGGGGCUACUGGAAUUCUCGGUGUAGCGGUGAAAUGCGUAGAUAUCGAGAGGAACACCUGCGGCGAAGGCGGUAGCGUGGGCCGACACUGACGCUGAGGCGCGAAAGCUAGGGGAGCGAACGGG
rnacentral:rRNA from 1 species